CUACGGGUGGCUGCAGUGAGGAAUAUUGCACAAUGGGGGAACCCUUAUGCCGCUCCUCCGCGUGGAGGAUGACGCAUUUCGGUGUGUAAACUCCUUUUAUAUGUCAAGAAAAUGACGGUAGCAUAUGAAUAAGCACCGGCUAACUCCGUGCCAGCAGCCGCGGUAAUACGGAGGGUGCAAGCGUUACUCGGAAUCACUGGGCGUAAAGGACGCGUAGGCGGGGUGGAAAGUCAGGUGUGAAAUCCUACAGCUUAACUGUAGAACUGCACUUGAAACUUCUAAUCUAGAGUAUGGGAGGGGGAGAGGGAAUUAGUGGUGUAGGGGUAAAAUCCGUAGAUAUCACUAGGAAUACCUAAAGCGAAGGCGAUCUCCUGGAACAUUACUGACGCUAAGGCGUGAAAGCGUGGGGAGCAAACAGGAUUAGAUACCCGUGUAGUC
rnacentral:rRNA from 1 species